CGGCUCCUUGGGACAAGAACCAGGCUGGCCUGCGGGGCUGGGCGCGGUGGCUCACGCCUGUAAUCCCAGCACUUUGGGAGGCCGAGGUGGGCGAAUCACGAGGAGAAGGUCAUCCCUUCGGUGGUCAUAGAGCCUGCUUCCAACCAUGAAGGGGAAGGAGAAAACGAAAUAACUAUAGGUGCAGAGCCCAAGGAGACCACCGAGGAUGCGGCUCCUCCAGGCCCCACCAGCGAGACGCCGGAGCUGGCUACGGAGCAGAAGCCUAUCCAGGACCCUCAGCCCACGCCUUCUGCACCAGCCAUGGGAGCUGCUGACCAGCUAGCAUCUGCAAGGGAGGCCUCUCAGGAAUUGCCUCCUGGCUUUCUCUACAAGGUGGAAACACUGCAUGAUUUUGAGGCAGCAAAUUCCGAUGAACUUACCUUACAAAGGG
rnacentral:sRNA from 1 species